GAUCUGCAAGCCUUUCACACCAACCUACAAGCACCUCUCACAAUCACCGAUAGCAAGCAAAGAAACAAGGAGAAGAUUCACUUGAGAUAAACAUAAAUCCAGGACUACAGAUUGAACUUUUCUGAUUUAGAUGAAAUUGACAAGGAAACUAAAGUCUAGAGCAUUAACAAGAAAGCCACAUUGUUGGAUCAUUCCUACAGGAAAUUCUACUGUUGUCAGAAAAGUAUAAAACCAAAUCUCAAUUUGCUUUGCCCAAGUCCUAACCCUCAACUUAUAUAAUUCCUUAACCAGGACCAAAGCAAAAGUCUAACAAAAGGGUGACCAAAUACAGGUUAAACACACAACAAACCAAUAAUUAACUCCAAUUAAUGACAAGGUGGUGCUAGAGAUAUCCUACAACAAACGGACACCUAAAAGAAAGCUACUUCCAAACAGGCACAUGCCCCAGCCCUAGCAUUGGCACCCAGUAAUUACCUAACAUACAGCCUAGGAUAUGAUAUAGGUUAGGUUUCAAAGAAAAUCCUCAUGUCAGGUGCCAAAGAUUUGCUGCUAUCCAAGGAGAGUACAUUCUUAAAGGAAAUCUAUCAAAUCAUGCAAUAAUGCUCUAUUAGUAAAGAAUUGAAAAGCCUCAAAACCACCAGUAUUAAUAUUUAUUAAUUCCUUAAAAAUGAGGGAAAGGACGGGAAAAAAAAUUAUACUUACUAUCACCAAUUCCACAGGAUAU
rnacentral:misc_RNA from 1 species